UCUUGGAGUAUAACAUGCUAUUGUUUACAUGUCGUGGUCUUGACUCGCAUGGCGACUGGUUUUUAUUCAAGUAAUAAAAUAAUAAUACUAGACAGUAUAUUGCUUUGUGAUCAUAAAUUUCGGGGCUGCUGAAAGUAUCGCGCAGUUUUUAUCAUGAAUUCGAGAAUGCCAUUUAAAAUGUCGCGCGUUUAUAAGUGUCGUAUGUAAUAAACUUUCCGCGAGUGAAUUGUACGAACUUUUUGUGAAUAUAAAGUAUGAAUCAACGAACCAUAACAAUUUGAGUGGCGGAGAAAAUCUAGGAGAGACAUUGGACGCUGAUGGAGCAACCCUGAGAUUAACAACUUCACAAUGUCAUCAAUUCCAUCGCUGCACAUCAAUUGGAAAUCGAAGAUAGGAAAGAUAACUCGAUAAGAAUCACUGAGGGGAAAUGAGUGCAGGAGGGGUGAAGCGCGCGGCAUGGAAGCGACGAAGAGAGAAAUGAGAAGGAAAACGCGACGAUGCAACGCAAUGUAGCAGGGAGAUGCGAGGAGGAGGCCGUUUGUCGGGCAUACCUUGAGGCCACCCUGGCGUCUAAUUGCGUGUAAUGCACUCUCGACUUGCCAGGCCUCUCGAGUUACCGCCAGAGGAGAGCCUGGCGAAAAACUCGGGUCGCGAGGCAGCAAAACGCCGACGAUCGCGGGGACGCGGUGCUAUGUCCGGAACGCUCGGACCCACACGAUGUGAUGGAGAACGGGGACGGCGAGGACGGCGACGCCCUCCAGGACGUCGAUCCCCCUCGUACCACCGUGUCGUUGAUUCUCCUCAUAUCAUGAUGUCGCGACUGACGAGGACGCGUCUUUUCCGUCCUCGGUCCGCGUCGCGCCUCUUUCUGGAAUGUCUUGACUGCUAAAAUAAAGACGUGUUCUUCACCAUGCUAAAUCUUCGCUCGGACGAAAUCCCUUCUGUCGCGAAUUCUCUCGAGCUUCGAAAAAAAUGCGAACGCCAAAAAGAC